GUUUGAUCCCUGGCUCCAGGAUGAAACGCUAGCUGGAGGCUUAAUACAUGCAAGUCGAGCGGGAUUGGGUAGCAAUACCCAUGAGAGCGGCGCACGGGUGAGUAACGCGUACACGACCUACCUCUAACAGGGGGAUAGCCCUGGGAAACUGGGAUUAAUACCGCAUAUAAUUUUGAUUUUAAAAGUUCAAAAUGAAAGUUCAGGCGGUUAGAGAUGGGUGUGCGUCUGAUUAGCUAGUUGGUAAGGUAACGGCUUACCAAGGCGAUGAUCAGUAGGGGGCGUGAGAGCGUGGUCCCCCACACGGGUACUGAGACACGGACCCGACUCCUACGGGAGGCAGCAGUAAGGAAUAUUGGUCAAUGGGCGCAAGCCUGAACCAGCCAUCCAGCGUGCAGGAAGAAGGCCCUACGGGUUGUAAACUGCUUUUGUCAGGGAAGAAACCUUUGGAUUUACUCCGAAGCUGACGGUACCUGAAGAAUAAGCACCGGCUAACUCCGUGCCAGCAGCCGCGGUAAUACGGAGGGUGCGAGCGUUAUCCGGAAUUACUGGGUUUAAAGGGUGCGUAGGCGGCUAUGUAAGUCAGGAGUGAAAGUUUGCGGCUCAACCGUAAAAUUGCUUUUGAUACUGCAUGGCUAGAAUCAGGAUGAGGUUAGCGGAAUGUGGCAUGUAGCGGUGAAAUGCAUAGAUAUGCCAUAGAACACCAAUUGCGAAGGCAGCUGGCUAGACCUGAAUUGACGCUGAGGCACGAAAGCGUGGGGAGCGAACAGGAUUAGAUACCCUGGUAGUCCACGCCCUAAACGAUGCUUACUCGACGUAUGGCCCUUGAGGUUGUGCGUCCAAGGGAAACCGUUAAGUAAGCCACCUGGGGAGUACGACCGCAAGGUUGAAACUCAAGGAAUUGACGG
rnacentral:rRNA from 1 species